UACGGGGGGGGCAAGCGUUGUUCGGAAUUACUGGGCGUAAAGAGCUCGUAGGCGGCCAACUAAGUCAUACGUGAAAUCCCUCGGCUUAACCGGGGAACUGCGUCUGAUACUGGAUGGCUUGAGUUCGGGAGAGGGAUGCGGAAUUCCAGGUGUAGCGGUGAAAUGCGUAGAUAUCUGGAGGAACACCGGUGGCGAAGGCGGCAUCCUGGACCGAUACUGACGCUGAGGAGCGAAAGCCAGGGGAGCAAACGGG
rnacentral:rRNA from 1 species